rnacentral:rRNA from 1 species
ACUGUCUCCUCCCGAGACUCAGUGAAGUUGAAAUGUUUGUGAUGAUGCAAUCUACCCGCGGCUAGACGGAAAGACCCCAUGAACCUUUACUGCAGCUUUGCAUUGAACUGUGAACCGAUUUGUGUAGGAUAGGUGGGAGGCAGAGAAGAGGCCACGCCAGUGGCCUUGGAGCCGACCUUGAAAUACCACCCUGAUUUGUUUGCGGUUCUAACCACGGACAGUGAUCCUGUCUUGGGACCGUGCAUGGUAGGCAGUUUGACUGGGGCGGUCUCCUCCUAAAGGGUAACGGAGGAGUACGAAGGUACGCUAGGUACGGUCGGAAAUCGUGCUGAUAGUGCAAUGGCAAAAGCGUGCUUGACUGCGAGAGCAACAACUCGAGCAGAUGCGAAAGCAGGUCAUAGUGAUCCGGUGGCUCUGAAUGGAAGGGCCAUCGCUCAACGGAUAAAAGGUACUCUGGGGAUAACAGGCUGAUACCGCCCAAGAGUUCAUAUCGACGGCGGUGUUUGGCACCUCGAUGUCGGCUCAUCUCAUCCUGGGGCUGUAGUCGGUCCCAAGGGUAUGGCUGUUCGCCAUUUAAAGAGGUACGUGAGCUGGGUUUAAAACGUCGUGAGACAGUUUGGUCCCUAUCUGCCGUGGGCGUUGGAAGAUUGACGGGGGCUGCUCCUAGUACGAGAGGACCGGAGUGGACGCACCUCUGGUGUACCGGUUGUCACGCCAGUGGCAUUGCCGGGUAGCUAAGUGCGGAAGAGAUAACCGCUGAAAGCAUCUAAGCGGGAAACUUGCCUGAAGAUGAGUCUUCCCGGAGGUUGAACCUCCCUCAAGAGUCGUCCGAGACCAGGACGUCGAUAGGUCAGGUGUGUAAGCGCUGUAAGGCGUUGAGCUAACUGAUACUAAUUGCUCGUGAGGCUUGAUCCU